GUUGUAUAGUCAAGUAAUUAAGUGCAUGUGGUGGAUGCCUUGGCAGUCAGAGGCGAUGAAAGACGUGAUAGCCUGCGAAAAGCUCCGGGGAGGCGGCAAAUAUCCUUUGAUCCGGAGAUGUCUGAAUGGGGGAACCCACCUACUUUAAGGUAGGUAUUGCAACAUGAAUACAUAGUGUUGCAAGGCGAACGAGGGGAAGUGAAACAUCUCAGUACCCUUAGGAAAAGAAAUCAAUUGAGAUUCCCUCAGUAGCGGCGAGCGAACGGGGAUCAGCCCAUUAAGUUAUGUGUGUUUUAGUGGAACGCUCUGGGAAGUGCGAACGUAGAGGGUGAUAUUCCCGUACACGAAAGGGCACACAUAAUGAUGACGAGUAGGGCGAGGCACGUGAAACCUUGUCUGAAUAUGGGGGGACCAUCCUCCAAGGCUAAAUACUCCUGACUGACCGAUAGUGAACCAGUACCGUGAGGGAAAGGCGAAAAGAACCCCUGUGAGGGGAGUGAAAUAGAUCCUGAAACCGCAUGCAUACAAGCAGUGGGAGCACCUUCGUGGUGUGACUGCGUACCUUUUGUAUAAUGGGUCAGCGACUUAUAUUCAGUAGCGAGGUUAACCGUAUAGGGGAGCCGUAGAGAAAUCGAGUCUUAAUAGGGCGUUUAGUUGCUGGGUAUAGACCCGAAACCAGGCGAUCUAUCCAUGAGCAGGUUGAAGGUUGGGUAACACUAACUGGAGGACCGAACCCACUGUCGUUGAAAAGCCAGGGGAUGACUUGUGGAUAGGGGUGAAAGGCUAAUCAAGCCUGGUGAUAGCUGGUUCUCCCCGAAAGCUAUUUAGGUAGCGCCUCGGACGAAUACCAUAGGGGGUAGAGCACUGUUUCGGCUAGGGGGUCAUCCCGACUUACCAAACCGAUGCAAACUCCGAAUACCUAUGAGUACUAUCCGGGAGACAGACUGCGGGUGCUAACGUCCGUAGUCAAGAGGAAAACAAUCCAGACCGCCAGCUAAGGCCCCAAAAUCAUAGUUAAGUGGGAAACGAUGUGGGAAGGCAUAGACAGCUAGGAGGUUGGCUUANNNNNNNNNNNNNNNNNNNNNNNGAAGCAGCCACCCUUUAAAGAAAGCGUAAUAGCUCACUAGUCGAGUCGGCCUGCGCGGAAGAUGUAACGGGGCUAAAACUAUGUGCCGAAGCUGCGGAUUUGACAUUAGUCAAGUGGUAGGGGAGCGUUCUGUAAGCCGAUGAAGGUGUAUUGAGAAGUNNNNNNNNNNNNNNNNNNNNNNNNNAUGCUGGAGGUAUCAGAAGUGCGAAUGCUGACGUGAGUAACGACAAAACGGGUGAAAAACCCGUUCGCCGAAAGACCAAGGGUUCCAGUCCAACGUUAAUCGGGGCUGGGUGAGUCGACCCCUAAGGCGAGGCCGAAAGGCGUAGUCGAUGGGAAAAUGGUUAAUAUUCCAUUACUUCUGUGUAAUGCGAUGAGAGGACGGAGAAGGCUAAAUCAGCCUGGCGUUGGUUGUCCAGGUGAAAGGAUGUAGGCAUGUAUCUUAGGCAAAUCCGGGGUACUCUAUGCUGAGAUCUGAUAGCAAGCUGUACUUGUACAGCGAAGUGGUUGAUGCCAUGCUUCCAGGAAAAGUCUCUAAGCUUCAGUUACACAGGAAUCGUACCCGAAACCGACACAGGUGGUCAGGUCGAGUAGACCAAGGCGCUUGAGAGAACUCUGCUGAAGGAACUAGGCAAAAUGGUACCGUAACUUCGGGAGAAGGUACGCUGUUGUUGGUGAUGGAACUCGCUUCCUGAGCUGACGACAGCCGCAGAAACCAGGCCGCUGCAACUGUUUAUUAAAAACAUAGCACUCUGCAAACACGAAAGUGGACGUAUAGGGUGUGAUGCCUGCCCGGUGCUGGAAGGUUAAUUGAUGGGGUUAGCGUAAGCGAAGCUCUUGAUCGAAGCCCCAGUAAACGGCGGCCGUAACUAUAACGGUCCUAAGGUAGCGAAAUUCCUUGUCGGGUAAGUUCCGACCUGCACGAAUGGCAUAAUGAUGGCGGCGCUGUCUCCAGCAGAGGCUCAGUGAAAUCGAAAUCGCUGUGAAGAUGCAGUGUACCCGCGGCUAGACGGAAAGACCCCGUGAACCUUUACUGCAGCUUGACACUGAACUUUGACCUUACUUGUGUAGGAUAGGUGGGAGGCUUUGAAGCUGGAACGCUAGUUCCAGUGGAGCCGUCCUUGAAAUACCACCCUGGUAAUGUUGAGGUUCUAACUCUGUCCCGUGAUCCGGGACGAGGACCGUGUCUGGUGGGUAGUUUGACUGGGGCGGUCUCCUCCUAAAGAGUAACGGAGGAGUACGAAGGUGCGCUCAGCGUGGUCGGAAAUCACGCGUAGAGUAUAAAGGCAAAAGCGCGCUUAACUGCGAGACCCACAAGUCGAGCAGGUACGAAAGUAGGUCUUAGUGAUCCGGUGGUUCUGUAUGGAAGGGCCAUCGCUCAACGGAUAAAAGGUACUCUGGGGAUAACAGGCUGAUACCGCCCAAGAGUUCAUAUCGACGGCGGUGUUUGGCACCUCGAUGUCGGCUCAUCUCAUCCUGGGGCUGAAGCAGGUCCCAAGGGUAUGGCUGUUCGCCAUUUAAAGAGGUACGCGAGCUGGGUUUAGAACGUCGUGAGACAGUUCGGUCCCUAUCUACCGUGGGCGCUGGAAAUUUGAGAGGAUCUGCUCCUAGUACGAGAGGACCAGAGUGGACGAACCUCUGGUGUACCGGUUGUGACGCCAGUCGCAUCGCCGGGUAGCUAUGUUCGGAAGGGAUAACCGCUGAAAGCAUCUAAGCGGGAAGCCUACCUCAAGAUAAGAUUUCCCUAGGACUUUAUGUCCUCUAAAGAGCCGUUCGAGACUAGGACGUUGAUAGGUUGGAUGUGGAAGCAUAGUGAUAUGUGAAGCUGACCAAUACUAAUUGCUCGUGAGGCUUGACUAUACAACACCCAAGCAGUUG
rnacentral:rRNA from 1 species